rnacentral:tRNA from 1 species
UUAGUGGUAAAAGUGUGAUUCGUUCUAUUAACCCCUUAAAUAGUUAAGGGGUCCUUCGGUUUGAUUAAUAUUCCGAUCAAAAACUUUAUUUCUUAAAAGGAUUUAAUCCUUUCCCUCUCAAUGAAAGAUUCGAGGAAGAAUAGAUAUUCUCGUGAUUUGUAUCCAAAAGAGUCAAUUAGAAAUUGAAAAAAAAAACAAAAUUGGAUUAUUAAAUUACGAAACAUAAUUUGUUUUUGAAUUGGAUCAAUACUUCCAAUUGAAUGAGUAUGAGUAAAGGAUCCAUGGAUAAAGAGAGAAGGGCGUCUUUCUAAUCGUAACUAAAUCUUCAAUUUUUUAUUUGUAUAAAAGAGAUUGAGGCAAAAUAGCUAUGAAACGAUGUCUUUGGUUUACUAGAGACAUCGACAUAUUAUAUUGUUUUAGCUCGGUGGAAACAAAAUGCUUUUCCUAAGGAUUCUUUCAAAUAGAAAUAGAGAACGAAGCAACCAGAAAGAUCGUUAGAAUUAUAAUCCCACUCUUCUAUAGGGAUCAUCUAUAAAGCGGGUUGUUUUGAAUGCAUUCAAACAGAAAAGCUGACAUAGAUGUUAUGGGCCGAAAUUUUUUUGAUUUUGUAAUUUAGUUCCCAUCUGAGAUAUGUGAAAUUUGUCCAUCUUGCAUAAAGGAGCCGAAUGAAACCAAAGUUUCACGUUCGGUUUUGAAUUAGAGACGUUAAAAAUGAUAAAUCAAUCAAGAACAAGCGGAUAUAGUUGAAUGGUAAAAUUUCUCUUUGCCAAGGAGAAGAUGCGGGUUCAAUUCCCG